CCCAAACCUCAACUCCCGGCAUUGCCAGGCAACAGCCAUUCAGUUCGGUUGCUGGGACACGCGUCACCAUGGCGACGGCUCCGCGCCGGGCAGUCUGAGUACUUAAAGAGCAAGCGCGCGCAACGCCCGGGCGUAGGAAAGCGGCCUUCCGGGACUCCGCAAACUCCCGUUCUUCUUCCCCCCUCCCCCUUACCAUUCCCUUUGCCUUGUGGGCGCCAAGUCUCUCUGGCCUCCAAGGUGAACCCAACUCCCAACUCCCCAGCGCGCCCCGGGUUCCCGGGUCGGGCCAGCUUCAGGCGGUGGGGAGCGGGAUCCCGGGCCCCGGGCGGGCGGGAGGGACGGGACGCGGUGCAGUGUUGUUCUUUCCCCCGCCAAUAUUGCACUCGUCCCGGCCUCCGGCCCCCCCGGCCCCCCGGCCUCCCCCCUACCCCUAGCGGGGCAGCCCCCGCCCUCCUGGCUCUCCAUCCCGGCGGAUCUUUGAUAGACUGGAGUGUCGCCGCUGCCACCGUGAAGGGGAAAAUAGGUCAUGGAGGAGGAGUGACUUCACCAACAUCACUCAUAGGUGCUUGUGUCCGUGGUGAGAAAGGGAGAUGGAGAGAAGUGGCUGCAGUCCCCACCCAUGGAGAGGUCACUGGUUGGUGAAAGUCCUGAACUUUGUCUCCCCACCUAGAGGACAACUGGUCAGGAAAUCUGCCUGUUUCUUGUCUCACCUUCUAGUCCACACUCUGCCCAACGCUACGCCCUGCCUCACAUUCCCAUUGACAUCUGCUGCAGGUAAUCUCUCCUCACCCAGGCCAGUGUCCACAAGCCUGCCUCCCCAGUUCACAGAGAUGUCCUAGCUUCCCUUCUUCAUC